rnacentral:rRNA from 1 species
AGCGAACGCUGGCGGCAGGCCUAACACAUGCAAGUCGAACGAACCUUUCGGGGUUAGUAGCGGACGGGUGAGUAACACGUGGGAACGUGCCUUUAGGUUCGGAAUAACUCAGGGAAACUUGUGCUAAUACCGAAUGUGCCCUUCGGGGGAAAGAUUUAUCGCCUUUAGAGCGGCCCGCGUCUGAUUAGCUAGUUGGUUGAGGUAAUGGCUCACCAAGGCGACGAUCAGUAGCUGGUCUGAGAGGAUGAUCAGCCACAUUGGGACUGAGACACGGCCCAAACUCCUACGGGAGGCAGCAGUGGGGAAUCUUGCGCAAUGGGCGAAAGCCUGACGCAGCCAUGCCGCGUGAAUGAUGAAGGUCUUAGGAUUGUAAAAUUCUUUCACCGGGGACGAUAAUGACGGUACCCGGAGAAGAAGCCCCGGCUAACUUCGUG